AGGAAAACCUGAUUGAGCAGAACUUCUGCAUCUCCUCUGUCUGCCAGAGGGACCCUUCCAGCACCUGCUGUGUGAAUGUCCCUUGCAUUGCUUUUGAAAAGAUGCAAGAGCUCAUCUAUAUCUUUGAAAUGUCUGUCAGAAAAUGUGCUUAGCAUUGGGGUAGUUGCCUAAUCCAUAUCCAUGUGGAUAGCUCUUUACUUAGGAAACCUUGAUGGCUUAUUUGGAUGACAAAGGUUCCCUUUUGGCGAUACAUAGCCAUGCGAGACAACAUAGCCAUGAAACAAACCAAGUCCACCAGUGGCUUCCUAGGAACACAUUUGCUUUCCUGAUAAAAGAGGACAGAUGCAGUUGCAGAAGUACCUGUGCCUCUUUUUCUUUUUCUUCUUCUUUUUCUUUUUUAAUCUCUUAAAUGCAGAUAUAAGAACUGGUACUGAAGCAGCCAUCUUGUGACCAUAAGGAAGAAGCCAAGAACAUCAGAACCAGUGGCCUAGCCAUUGCACAGUCAUCUAAACACACCUCUGGACUUGUUAUUAUGUAAAAAAAAAUAAACACCUGCUCUUGUUAUUUGCAAUUCAACAUAAUCGUAACUUACAUAAUAUUUAUCAAAUUGAUACAAAUAAGAAAUAAAUUACUUGGGAAUAAAAUUUCCAGUAGUUUGUCAAGCAUCUCCAAUCUUCUGAUUUCUUUAUUUCCCAUUGCAUUUUUCCCCAAUAAAUAUUCAUCUUCAAUACUCAAGAGUCUUCGUUAUGUCAGAGGGAAGUUGCUCUGAAGCUAAAAUCACAAUAGAAAAAUAUAUCCAGAGGUAUAGGCCUGUAUCCCCCAGCAGUUUCUUUCUUUGGUUAUGUCAUCUAUUGUCAGGGCAUAUCAACAAAACACAACGAAUGGUCGGAUGUGGCUGUCCUUGGUCAUGAUCUCUUUCAUUCUUGAAUACCUACUCAUCACUUACAGUUCUGCCUCAGUUUACUGUGCAGAAGCCACCUGUCAUGUAACAUCCAAAUCUGGUCAUUUAGGACUUAACUUCCCUCCAUCUCUUCAUACUGAGAUGUAGUGAUGGGAGAUUUCCAUUUCUUCUUUCAAAUGUUGUUUAUACACACAUUUCAGGCAUAAACUUUGUGGGAAACAAAAAUGAAUGAGGAAUCAAGUUGCUCUCAACAGCGUCUUGUAGACAUAAACUUUCAUGA
rnacentral:lncRNA from 1 species